rfam:Echinostoma caproni strain Egypt genome assembly, scaffold: ECPE_scaffold0012857
GCACUACUGACGAAUCCCAAACAGAACGAAACAACUGUUCAGUGC